rnacentral:lncRNA from 1 species
CCCUGUCCCAUUCCCUGUCCCUGUGUCCCUUUCCUUGUCCCCACAUCCCUUUCCCUGUCCCAUUCCCUGUCCCUGUGUCCCAUUCCCUGUCCCUGUGUCCCUUUCCUUGUCCCCACAUCCCUUUCCCUGUCCCAUUCCCUGUCCCUGUGUCCCUUUCCCCUCAUCCCAUCCCUGUUUUCCAGGUCUCCAACGUUCCUACGGCCGGAAUCGCUCCCUCCCGGCUCCAGCUCCGGCUCCAGAGGCUCCGGGAGAGGCUCCAGGUGUGCAGGUGGGUGUGGCCUCACCUGCCCCACCCGUGGCACCCCCCGUGGCACCCCCUGAUCCACAUCCCUCCCAUUCCCUCCCAUUCCCAGGGAUCCCAGGCCCCGCUCCUGGCACGGACACGACGGAUCGCCCGGAGCGCCCUCCUGAAAUCCGCCCCCUACAGCAGCUGCUGCCGCAGGAAAGGGGCCCAGGGAAGCAGCUCCCGGGCCGGCACCACCCGGACGGUGCCGGAGCCGCUCCGGAAUGUGGCAGAAUCCCAGGAUGUGGGAGAAUCCCGAGGAUCCCCAGCCCUGCUGCUGGAACACGGCAGCGGGAGGGCAGAUGUUCCGAAGGCUCCGACCCGGAAAGGAAAACCCUGCUCGGUGUGGGACGAGCUGAGCCCGGAGCGGCGCCGGGUCCUGCAGCACCACCUGCACCUGCGCAGGUGAGCUGGGCCCAAACCGGGCC